rnacentral:rRNA from 1 species
AUUGAACGCUGGCGGCAUGCCUUACACAUGCAAGUCGAACGGCAGCACGGGUGCUUGCACCUGGUGGCGAGUGGCGAACGGGUGAGUAAUACAUCGGAACAUGUCCUGUAGCGGGGGAUAGCCCGGCGAAAGCCGGAUUAAUACCGCAUACGAUCUACGGAUGAAAGCGGGGGCCCUUCGGGCCUCGCGCUAUAGGGUUGGCCGAUGGCUGAUUAGCUAGUUGGUGGGGUAAAGGCCUACCAAGGCGACGAUCAGUAGCUGGUCUGAGAGGACGACCAGCCACACUGGGACUGAGACACGGCCCAGACUCCUACGGGAGGCAGCAGUGGGGAAUUUUGGACAAUGGGCGAAAGCCUGAUCCAGCAAUGCCGCGUGUGUGAAGAAGGCCUUCGGGUUGUAAAGCACUUUUGUCCGGAAAGAAAUCCUUGGCCCUAAUACGGUCGGGGGAUGACGGUACCGGAAGAAUAAGCACCGGCUAACUACGUG